UGUGUGUGGGUGUGUGUGUGUGGUGGGGGUGCCGUUUCUUUAAAGAUGUGUGUACACACACAUCUGAUAGUGAGUGAGUGAGUGUGUGUGUGUCUGUGUGUGUGUAGGUAUGGGAAACUGCCACGGUGCAGCAUGCCUCUGAAUAUCCUUGAACGUCCUGGUUUCUGCGUGGUCAAGCCUGUGCUCCCCCACCUGGGGCAGGGGGCGAGUGAUGGUUGUGGUAGUGCUGGGGGGGUCGGGUCUUGGCCAUGCAAACGGGAGAGACCUUGAGUUGUGGGCGUGAGUAGGGAGAAGGGGCAGGCUAAGACGGGGGCUCUGGGAGGCGAGCUGCAGAGACCCUGCUCUUGGUUUUAGCUCCAAUCCCGGGCCUCUUCCCGACUCCCUUUUUUGCCCCACUGGUCUGGGAGCUGCGGGGCUGCUGGAGGGGCUCCCAGGGCUAGUUCCGGGGCGGGGCCGGGAGGAGGGAGGGUGCGGAGCCAGGAGGCGGUCAGGACCCGGGGCAGCUCCCUUGGCCCGGCGGGGCGGGCCGGGCCCCGCCCGGCGGGGAACCGGGGACUCCCCCGAGGAGAGACUGGACACCUCACCGAUGGAUGGGCCAGGAUCAAUGAGAGUCAGCCCUAGGGAGCGUCAGGGGACUGCACCUGUCACCGAAGAUCGGGACGGGAGGCUCUGGAACUGGAAGGUCCUGACAGGAGCCAGAUUUCCUAGCUGCAAAUGGGUGCUAAAAAGUCCCAACAGAAAGAUGGAGGAAAAAAAGGUGACUCCAACUGCAAUGCCAAAGAAUAAAGAGCCACUGCUUUUGUCCACCAAUCCAUCAUCCACUCUGGGGAAAGCCAGCUGCCAUAUUUUGAACAGCCCUAUGGAGACAGCUUACAACAGACAACUUAGUGAGAAAUGGAGGUCUCCAGAUAACAACCUGAGAAAAACUGAGGCUCAGCCAGAAAAUAAUAGAAAGGAAAGACUGCAGAGGGACUUGGUGCCAGAAGGCUUCAGAGACAGCUGUCCCUGCAGCACGUGGAUCCCUCCUUCCCCAGGCGUGACUGCCUUUCCUGGCAGGUACUCCAAGCCACCAACGGAACAAAGAAGAAACAAAGGUAUAAUGAGCAAGCUUCUUCCACUAUACACUACAGACAAUAGGUGCAAUAUUUUGAAAAAAAGAAAAAAAAUCUGUCUCAUUAGUUAA
rnacentral:lncRNA from 1 species